ensembl:lncRNA
AUACAAAAAGAUUCAUGUGAGAAAUAUUCCAGUUAAGACUCUAGAAUAUCAUGAUUUAUGUGAAUUUACCUCAAUAUAAAUGUUCAGGUUAAGAUUGCACAGUGAUAUUUAUUAUGUAAGUUUAGCUGAUUAAAGUUUAUGACUCUGCACUACAAUAUUAUUUAAAUUUCCAUCAUUAUUAUAAUAUUUAGGGUCAGACUCUACAGUAUUGAGAUUAAGAAAUCAAAUAUUUCAUAAAAUGUAAAUACACUGAACAAAUUUGUAUAUAUUUAAGUGAGAAUCUACAAUAUUAUUUGACACAAAUCUCUCUAAAUCAAAAUUUGAAUCAUUUUUACUCCAAACAUUUACUGGACUGAUUUAAAUAUUAAAAUCACUCAUUUCUAAUCCUCUGCUGUACGUUCAAACCUGAGGCCUUAAAUAGAAACACACAAGUAUCUGUUUGAAGGAACUUCUGCAGAGUCCUGGUUCCAGAACAUGAUGAUAGAAUUAUAGACAAACUUUAACAAACGCUGCCUGAGAGUUUACAAGUUUUUAUGUUGGAUUUCUUCAGUAAUUUAAUGAGAGUUAUCAGCAAAAAUCAAGUGUUCAUUUGAUGAACUUCAUUUCCUAAAACAUCCAGAGUUGGAACUCAUAUCUUUGGCAGCUUUAAAGUUUCUGCUCCUUCAAAGUUCACAACACAAUGAAUGAAUUCCUAAAACACUCUCAAUGCUGGAGAGCGUUUGAUGCUGAAGCAGUGACCAGUUUUUCUGUUUCUUCUCUGGAGAUGCACAAUGAGGGACGUCUGCAGAGACUGAGAAAGAGUCUCACCACAUCCUGACAUGAGGAAAAAGACUUUAUUGAAGACUACAAUGAGAAAAACUAUCAGACAGCAGACGGCUGCAUUCAAGUCUGUAGCUGCUGAAUUCAUGGAUGAAUCAUCUGGCACUAGAGAGGAAGACUAUCAAACAUCCACGUCAGCUGAUGGAGGUCCAAGAGUCUCACCGAACAAACAACCUACAGAAUGAAGACCUCAAAUCUGAUUGGACGGCCUCCUAUUAAGCCACGUGUGAACAAAUGCCUC